UUAUUACUCCCUCUGUCCGGAAAUACAUGUCAGAGAAAUGGAUGUAUCUAGAUGUAUUUUAGUUUUGGAUACAUCCAUUUUCCGUUUCUCUGACAAGUAUUUUCGGACGGAGGGAGUACUUU
rfam:Triticum aestivum genome assembly, contig: Triticum_aestivum_CS42_TGACv1_scaffold_375783_5AL